GAGGAAGUAAAAGUCGUAACAAGGUUUCCGUAGGUGAACCUGCGGAAGGAUCAUUAUCGAUUCAAACCAAAUGAGAGGGAAGUUGUUAUAGUAGUGCUGGCCUCUGUAAUGGAGGUAUUGUGCACGCUCGACUUCUUCCUUUCUUCAUUUACACACCUGUGAACUUGUUGUAGGGUUGUCUCGCAAGAGAUGCUCUAUGUCUUUCUCAUAUACUCCAUAAUGUUUAUAGAAUGUACCUUUUUGCUCUCGUCAGAGACAAAAAUAAAGCCUUUAUAACUUUCAGCAACGGAUCUCUUGGCUCUCGCAUCGAUGAAGAACGCAGCGAAUUGCGAUAUGUAAUGUGAAUUGCAGAUUUUCAGUGAAUCAUCGAAUCUUUGAACGCACCUUGCGCUCCUUGGUAUUCCGAGGAGCAUGCCUGUUUGAGUGUCAUUAAAUUCUCAACUCCCUUUGAUUUCUUCAAAGGCGGGCUUGGAUCUUGGAGGCUUUGCCGGCUUGUGAAAGUCGGCUCCUCUGAAAAGCAUUGGUAAAGACGUAUUGCAUGCCUCUGUAAUGGAGGUGUGUGCUGGCCUCUGUAAUGGAGGUUGGUAUCAGGUCGGCCUUUCGGUGUGAUAAUGAUCACCGUGGCUAGCUGGCUAUUAAUGUCUAUGCCUUACUUGCUACUUUUUCCAUUGACUUGGAAAAAAGCACUUUGACCAUUUGACCUCAAAUCAG
rnacentral:rRNA from 1 species